AUGCUGAAUAUCAGUAGGUUUGGUGUUUUUUUUCUUCUUUUUAUUUCUGAGCCCUGUUUAUUUUGUUAUAGUAUUGCAUCUUAUUUCCCAGCUCAAUACAUAUGGGUCAAGUGGAUGCCCUUGUCAAUGCUUGGAAAGAAUUAUUUCUCUUGUUUUUGCUUGGUACAUAAUUUUUAA